rnacentral:rRNA from 1 species
CACGGGGGGAGCAAGCGUUGUUCGGAAUCACUGGGCGUAAAGGGCGUGUAGGCGGUUUGGUAAGUGGGAUGUGAAAUGCCUCGGCUCACCCGAGGACCGGCAUCCCAAACUGCCAAGCUUGAGUAUGGGAGAGGAUGUGGGAAUUCCUGGUGUAGCGGUGAGAUGCGUAGAUAUCAGGAGGAACACCGGUGGCGAAGGCGCACAUCUGGCCCAAUACUGACGCUGAGGCGCGAAAGCUAGGGGAGCAAACGGG